CUACGGAGGGUGCAAGCGUUGUCCGGAUUUAUUGGGUUUAAAGGGUGCGUAGGUGGCGUGUUAAGUCAGUGGUGAAAGCCUGCAGCUCAACUGUAGAGGUGCCAUUGAUACUGACAUGCUUGAGUAUGGACGAGGUAGGCGGAAUUUGUGGUGUAGCGGUGAAAUGCAUAGAUACCACAAAGAACACCGAUAGCGAAGGCAGCUUACUGGACCAUAACUGACACUGAGGCACGAAAGUGUGGGUAGCGAACAGGAUUAGAUACCCUAGUAGUCC
rnacentral:rRNA from 1 species